rnacentral:lncRNA from 1 species
CCACGUGUCAGUCUUCCUCCCACAGAAAUCCACUUUGUGGUCUGUUUCUGUUUUCUUUUAUAAAAAAUAAACAGAAUCCCUCUUUCUUAUCCUACUCAAUAAAAUAUCUGAAACGUAGAGAAGAAGGAAGAAGAAAAGAUGACGACGCAGAAUAAAGAGAUGGAAGUGGUGAAGGAUCUCGACUUGGAGAGAUACAUGGGCCGUUGGUACGAGAUUGCUUCUUUCCCUUCCAUUUUUCAGCCCAAGAACGGUAUUGACACUCGCGCCACCUACACCCUCAACCCUGACGGCACGGUUGAUGUCUUGAACGAGACGUGGAACAGUGGCAAGAGAGUUUUCAUCCAAGGCUCAGCAUACAAGACUGAUCCUAAGAGCGACGAGGCUAAGUUCAAAGUUAAGUUCUAUGUCCCUCCUUUCCUCCCUAUCAUUCCUGUCACUGGAGAUUACUGGGUGUUGUAUAUUGAUCCUGAGUACCAGCACGCCGUCAUCGGCCAGCCUUCAAGGAGUUAUCUCUGGGUAUGUCUUGUUGUGUUUUGUCUCUUUAUGAUGAAUAUGAUAGAAAAAGCUAAGGAUUGAUAUUGAGUAUGUGGGAUAUGUGGUGUAGAUACUGAGCAGGACGGCACAUGUGGAGGAAGAGACAUACAAGCAGCUGCUGGAGAAGGCGGUGGAGGAAGGGUACGACGUCAGCAAGCUUCACAAGACCCCUCAGAGUGACACACCACCUGAGUCCAACGCUGCUCCUAACGACACCAAGGAUCAAAUGCUAAAAUAGACCACAAAGGGUCAAAAAAAUUUGAUAUAGACCUAUUGUUUCUUUAUUUUAAUAAUAAAUAAAAAUUAGGGAGAAAAGACAAUGAGACCUAAUAACUUAAACAUAUUUACUAAUCUAUGCCAUUGCAAUUCUACCCAGAUUCUGAUCCAGAUUCUGACCCGGAUCCAUACCCAAACCCGAUCUAACUCUAACCCUAGUCUUCUUCUUCCUCCUUUUUUCUUCUCCAUUAAUGUUCCUUCAUUUUAAAAAAAAAAAAUCAAAAAUUUUCUUUAACCAUCCUCUAAUUUUCUCUUUCUUAACCCAAAUCGAACAAUCCAUACUCAUAUUAAAUCAAUUAUAUCUUAUUUAGAAUCAAAUUUCAUAUUUUAUGAAUGAGAUUUAAAAUAAAGAAGAACGCGAAGUAUAACUAAUACAAAGAGUACAACUACAACUGGUACGGAUAGUACAACUCCAACUCAUACAACUAAUACAAAUCAAAUUGGUACAACUAGUACAACUAAAACAAAUAUAACUAGUAUAAAUAUAUUGAGUAUAGCCAAUAUAGCUGAUACAAGAAAAACUUGUAUAACUAAUACAACUUUACAAUAAUUUGGUGAGUUUUUAUUUUUUGUUAUCAACAUAUAAAAAUGACAUAAAAAGGAUAAUUUAGAACCAAUAAAACAUGUUGGUCUAAUCUUUUCCCGCCUGCAUGUAUCAAAUACAUGAAUUGUAUAUUUUUAAUAAUAUUGGAAUUGAAUAAUGAUUUAUUUACAAGUUGUACAAGUUAUACUGGUUGUACUAUUUUCUAAAAAAAACAUCAAUCAUCUUUUUAUUCUUAAGGCCAAAAAAGUAGAUGUGGAUCCAAAAAAGUCUUUAACCAUGGUUCUAAAAAACACAAGUCACUGGAAAAAUAAAAAGAAGGGAACGUCGGCGAUGAGUAAGAGUAACCAUCAUCGAUGGAGAAAAAGAUGGCCUCUAUUGUGAAGAAGAGAGAUGCCGCAUCGGAAAAUAAAAAAGACGCAGUGAAGAAAAAGAGAGAUGCGACAAAGAAGAGUGUAGUCGUGGUGAAAAAUAGGAAGCUUGACGGUGGUGUCCAUGGUGGGUCUUCGUCAAAUCCAAACAAACAGCUCGGAAUUGCAAGAGAGAAACCACAUUUCCACCGGACCCUCAAUGCGUUCUUUUCCCGGAACCAUCAAUGGCUUCACCAUUUCAGCCCACUAGUAAGCCCCAUAAAUAAUGAAGUCAACCCAAAAAUUUAGAUGUAUUUUGGUAUAACUAAUGCAACAAGUUCAACUACACUGUAAUAUAUAAGAAUAGUACAACUACUCGACAUUAGUGUUUCAAUCAAAAUAUUUAAAAUAAGAUACACAUUCAGAACAUGAUGCAUAUUUAAAACAAUACUAAAUUAAAUAACAAGUAGUUAUACCGGUUUUCUAGUUGUAUCGGUUGUGUAUAGUUAAUAGUUGUACUAGUUUUUGAGUUGUACCAUUUUGUGCAUAGUUGUACUUUGGUAAUAAAAACCAAAAUAUUAAUUCUUCCACAUAAUAAAUAUAUUUAUCUCAGUUGUACCACUUAUUUAUGUUUUCAUGCAUUUGCCCGAGUAUAAUGAAAUCAUCAAUUUUGUAAAAAUACAUUUCAUGUAUGUUUUUCAAAAGUUAUGUGGACAAACAAGUUAACAAACCUUAAAAGUAUAAGGUAUAUCAUGUAAAUUUCUGGAACUGUGUAAUAACUUUUAUUUUAUUUUUUCAAAACUUAUAAUAAAUUAAGAAAAACUUUUUGAAUACAUACCCUUUGCCGUCUGCAAGAAACUGAAAAUCAACCCUUUGCAGUAUGUACACGACUGUUACACUUGUGAACGGUAUUACAAAACUUAUGCUGCCACUUUUUCUCCUGUUCCGGAGUUAUCAGCUUGGCCGGAAGCUUCCGGAGUUCUGAGAUUGUUUCCCCCAGUCAUUCCUCCGCCACCACCGCCUCCAUCUUCUGUAGUACCAUGUAAGGCCCAACGCAAAUCAACUCUUAAGACUAAUAAAAGGAAGAGCUGAGAAAUGUAGAUUUUCAUCUGAAUCGAACCGGACAUUUUGGUAUGUUUAUGUAGUAUCUUGCGACUUUCAGAAGUAGGGUUAAUCCCGGUUUGAAUUUUACGAUGUUGAUGCUGUAAUGGAAGAAACAGAACGUGUGUUGGUGUUUUUUUUUGGUAUGUGAUGAUUAAUCCGGUUUGUGUCAGAAAUUUUGUCGAUCCCAUGAACCGAUACAAAAACAAAGCUAAACCGGAUCGGAAACUGAAGCCAACCGUCAUGUUCUUCACCAUCUCAUUCCGAAUUGUUUCUCUCUUGCUAUCUCACUUCCAGGCGGGCGGUAAUAUACAAACAAAUAACAUGUGUAUGUUAAGCUUAUCCCUUUGCUCUUUAAGAAAGUUUUUUUUUAAUCUGCAAGGAGGUGAGUGCGAUCCUAAAAUCCACAUUAGAAAUUUGUUAGUGUUUAUAAUAAGAUAAAAGAAGAAGAAUUUUGUGUACAACAAUAUCCUCAAACCAAAACAAAGUUGACGAAAAUGGACUUUAUGAAUAUAGAUCUCGAAUGUUUUACAAGAUAUGGAAAUGGUAAUCUAAACAAGGCUCAGAGGUGUGUUCAAACAUGUCAUGUCAUGUCAUGUCUCCUUAAGGUGAGCCUCAAACUGAGAAUCAAAAUAAAGAUAAAGACUGAAAUGGGUAAGUGAAGAGUUUGAAGUCGAUAGGUUAGUGUGUUCAAAUAUGUCAUGUCUCCUUGCUCUCAUCUCUCAUCUUUUUUUUGGUUUUUGAUAUUUUCUCUUCUUCUCAUCAUUGCGAUCUUGGAAAUCUCGGACGCUCAGUGGUCACCACGAAAAAAGUUGAGUGUUACAAUCUAGUUAAUCGCACAAUUAUGAAAAAUGUUCUUGGGUGGGCCUAAAAAUGGCAAAAGAAAGUCAAAUCAAAGUGUGCAUGUUAGGCUUGGCCCAUUGUAUUGUAUUCUUCUACGGUUCUACCUCCCGCGGUCCCGCCCAUAGAACAAAGAAAAGAGACAAGACAUUUGUGUCCUCCUCCUUGUUUCAGAUUACAUCUCAUAGAUGCUACUAGAACCAUUUGCCCUACACGCUUCCCACGUGUCAGUCUCUCUUCCCACAGAAAUCCACUUUGUGGUCUUUUUCUGUUUUCUUUUAUAAAAAAUAAACAGAAUCCCUCUUUCUUAUCCUACUCAAUAAAAUAUCUGAACCUUAGAGAAGAAGGAAGAAGAAAAGAUGACGACGCAGAAGAAAGAGAUGGAAGUGGUGAAGGAUCUUGACUUGGAGAGAUACAUGGGCCGUUGGUACGAGAUUGCUUCUUUCCCUUCCAUUUUUCAGCCCAAGAACGGUGUUGACACUCGCGCCACCUACACCCUCAACCCUGACGGCACGGUGCACGUCUUGAACGAGACGUGGAACGGUGGCAAGAGAGCUUUCAUCCAAGGCUCAGCCUACAAGACUGAUCCUAAGAGCGACGAGGCUAAGUUCAAAGUUAAGUUCUACGUCCCUCCUUUUCUCCCUAUCAUUCCUGUCACUGGAGAUUACUGGGUGUUGUAUAUUGAUCCUGAGUACCAGCAUGCUGUCAUCGGCC